GUAACAAGGUUUCCGUAGGUGAACCUGCGGAAGGAUCA
rnacentral:rRNA from 1 species